rnacentral:rRNA from 1 species
AUUGAACGCUGGCGGCAUGCCUUACACAUGCAAGUCGAACGGUAACGGGCCUUCGGGUGCCGACGAGUGGCGAACGGGUGCGUAAUACAUCGGAACGUGCCCGAUCGUGGGGGAUAACGAGGCGAAAGCUUUGCUAAUACCGCAUACGAUCUACGGAUGAGAGCAGGGGACCGCAAGGCCUUGCGCGGACGGAGCGGCCGAUGGCAGAUUAGGUAGUUGGUGGGAUAAAAGCUUACCAAGCCGACGAUCUGUAGCUGGUCUGAGAGGAUGAUCAGCCACACUGGGACUGAGACACGGCCCAGACUCCUACGGGAGGCAGCAGUGGGGAAUUUUGGACAAUGGGCGCAAGCCUGAUCCAGCCAUGCCGCGUGCAGGAUGAAGGCCUUCGGGUUGUAAACUGCUUUUGUACGGAACGAAAAGCCUUCUUUUAAUACAGGAGGGUCAUGACGGUACCGUAAGAAUAAGCACCGGCUAACUACGUG